UAGCAGCUGGAGGAUAAGGAAGUAGGGGAAAUCCUUGAGAGACGUUAAACGGUCUUCACGAGGCCAAUUAAAAACACGAUUUUAAACAUCAAAAGAAUACUAUGAAUUGUUUAAUGAUUUAUACAUAUGUAGUAAAAGUAUAAAGAAAUGCAUACAAAUAUACCUAAAUUCAGGAUAGUGGUUACUUGAGGGGCAGAGAAGGUCCGAGAUGUGCUAGGUACCUGACAGAUUGCAGCUUUCCUUAGAGUCUACGUGGUAGGUAUCAUUGGCCCAUUUUACAGACAAGGAAAUUGAGACUUGGGGAAGUGAACUGGCCAGAAUUCUAGUUCCACUCGGUUUUGACGUCGGAUUCACCAGCUGAACGAAUGAAAGGACGGCCUCGGACUCGCUCUCCAGGCCUCUCUCCGCGCGCUCUUCCAGGAUUCCGUACUCGAGGUCGAUAGACCGCACAGGAUAAAUCUGGACCCUCAGCUGCUUUUUUAGCCGAGAUCAAAGUCCGUUCCUAUCCCGCCCCGCGCAUUGGGUCCCGCCCCGGGCGGUUGAGCCCCAGUGGGACUCAUGAAUAUGCAAGUAAGAAGAUAUUUAAAGGCGCCGCCGCCAGGCGCAGAUUCUUGCCCGGCGUCGCCCGCCCAGUACCUCUCCUCAGCGCGAGGCCCGGCCUCCUUCGCCCUGGAUCUUCACUCCGUGCCGAAGCGCCGCCAGCAUGUCGGACAAACUGCCCUACAAAGUCGCUGACAUCAGCCUGGCCUCUUGGGGACGCAAGGCCCUGGACAUUGCGGAGAAUGAGAUGCCGGGCCUGAUGCGCAUGCGGGAGAUGUACUCAGCCUCCAAGCCACUGAAGGGUGCCCGCAUCGCUGGAUGCCUUCACAUGACUGUGGAGACAGCUGUCCUCAUUGAGACCCUCAUUGCCCUGGGUGCUGAGGUGCAGUGGUCCAGCUGCAACAUCUUCUCCACCCAGGACCAUGCCGCAGCUGCCAUUGCCAAGGCUGGCAUUCCAGUGUAUGCCUGGAAGGGCGAAACAGACGAGGAGUACCUGUGGUGCAUCGAGCAAACUCUGUACUUCAAGGAUGGGCCCCUCAACAUGAUUCUGGACGAUGGCGGUGACCUCACCAACCUUAUUCACACCAAGUACCCGCAGCUCCUGUCAGGCAUCCGAGGCAUCUCCGAGGAGACCACAACUGGGGUCCACAACCUAUACAAGAUGAUGGCCAACGGGAUCCUGAAGGUGCCUGCCAUCAAUGUCAACGACUCGGUCACCAAGAGCAAGUUUGACAACCUGUAUGGUUGCCGGGAGUCCCUCAUAGAUGGCAUCAAGCGGGCCACAGACGUGAUGAUUGCAGGCAAGGUGGCGGUGGUGGCAGGCUAUGGUGACGUGGGCAAGGGCUGUGCCCAGGCCCUGAGAGGUUUCGGGGCUCGUGUCAUCAUCACCGAGAUUGACCCCAUCAACGCGCUGCAGGCUGCCAUGGAGGGCUAUGAGGUGACCACCAUGGAGGAGGCCUGUCAGGAGGGCAACAUCUUUGUCACCACCACAGGCUGUGUCGACAUCAUCCUUGGCCGGCACUUUGAGCAGAUGAAAGAUGAUGCUAUCGUGUGUAACAUCGGACACUUUGAUGUGGAGAUUGAUGUCAAGUGGCUCAACGAGAACGCUGUGGAGAAGGUGAACAUAAAGCCUCAGGUGGACCGCUAUCGGCUGAAGAAUGGGCACCACGUCAUUCUGCUGGCCGAGGGCCGGCUGGUCAAUCUGGGCUGUGCCAUGGGCCACCCCAGCUUCGUGAUGAGCAACUCCUUCACCAACCAAGUGCUGGCACAGAUUGAACUGUGGACCCACCCGGACAAGUACCCCGUCGGUGUCCACUUCCUGCCCAAGAAGGUGGGUUCCUACCUCCAUCCCAGGCCAAGGGCCAUGUGUCUCUCCCUAGCUUCCUAUGCCAGGCUCAUCAGAAUUUAGAAAGUGUUUGCCUGUCUGCCCUCUUAGAGUAGAGGUCCUCACAGGAUCCUACAGGGAAGAAAUCAUUCUCCCCAUUUGACAGAGGAGGAAACAGACCUAAAGUAGGGAAUGACUCCCCUGGAGCACACCCAGAGUGCAGAGCUGGUAAUGGGAAGAGCAUGGGCUUUGGAAUAAGACACAUCAGGUUUGAAUCUCAGCUUCACCCCUUAUAGGCUGUGUAACUGGGGGCAAGUUACUUAGCUUCUCUGUGUCUCCAUUUCCUCAUGUAUAAAAUGAAGGCGGUAGGUCUCCUUUAGGGAUUAUGAGGGUUUCCUUAGGUCAGGACUCACAAACCCACAUGCUCACAGGGAUCAAGUCAGUGAGUAAAGCGGGUUGGGUGGGAACUGAGAAACGGAAGAGCAGAUGUCCCACUGAAAAGGGGUGGCUGCCACUCAGCUGACGUUACCCUUGAACCCGAGCCUAUUGGGCCAGAGCUUCUGACCUUUGAAGAGAAGCCAGAUGUCAAGAUCUUUGUAUGGAAUACUCAAUUUUUAAAUCUAGGCAACUCGUUACAGUUUUUAAAAAUCACCUGGGUGGUCAACCUGGACACGUCUAUAAGCCGAGUGUAGCUCACAGGCUGCAGUUCCGUGGCCUUAGAAUGAGAUGGUACAGAUAAUACACUAAGCACGGCACCUAACUCGCUGUGGCGUGUGGUCCGGGUAACCAUGACGAUCAGGUACUCUGACAUCAAAUCCAGCGCUCAUCCUAACACCCCAUGCAGCCUGCCCACCCCAGGGGUCAGAAUUGCCGUGUUUAAGUCCUGGCUCUUUUUGCCAGUGUCACAGGUGAACUUGGUGUUGCCAUUUGCCCUUUCUGGGCCUUAGUUUCCCUUUCAGCUCUGGUGAGAGUGGCUCUUAACUCUUACAGCCUUUGGCUGCUGGAGAGGCUGUGAUGGGGAUCUCCAUACCACCGCUUUUACGUCUUGAUAGGCUGGUUACAUCAACUGAGAAAGAGAUUGGAAGACACCUGGUGCAUUCACUCGAGGCAUGGGACAUCUGUGCCCAGGGUCAGCCAACUGCUUUCCACCAAGUCUCCCUGGGACCCUGACUUGCCAGACCAAAUGUUUUGCCUGUAGGAGCCUCAAGGGCUACCCCAUUCCGUACAGCCUGCCAGAUCUCUAGGCUUGUAGAGUAAGAAAGAUACCCCCUUGGCCCUCAUCUGAUUCCAUCUAGGGGAAAUACGGCUAUGAAUUUGGUGAGAAGUUAGGCAAGGUUGGUCUUUGAAAUGAGGCCAUGAUUGGAAACAAAAGAGGCAAACAUUUUGCCUCCUGCUGCAGCCCCUUUCCUCCACCACUGCCAAAACAUAGACUGGGGGCCGGAUACCCUCACCUUCAUGCCUCACAGGCCAUGUGUAGGCAAGGGAUUAGGCAUCUUGGUUAACAAGAAUGAUGGAGAACAGUCCCCAUUUAUUUGGUAAGGUGACUGCUUGUACCAAGCACUCUGCAUAACCCUGAUCUUUGUAACAGCCAUGAGAGAUGAAUAAUUGUUAGGUCCAUCCUACAGAUGAGGAAACUAAGGUUCAGAGAUUGAGUCGCUCCCAUAGCUGUCAAGUAUCAGGCCAGGAAUAGACCCAGCUCUGUCUGUCCAAGUUGUUACCCACUAUCACAGAUAGCCUUCUAGGGGCGGGGUACAGGGAGGAGGAGGGGUAUUCUGGGCUAGGCCAGGCCAGGCAGGUGAAGGGAUGAUUCAGUUUGUACCCUGGGAAUUAGAGGCCUUCAUUCUGCCACCAGAACUGACCUGGACGCAGAUGGGCUCUGGUGCUGCCUUUACCUGUGUUUUGCUUGAGCACGUUACCAUCUUCUCUGGGCUCCAGUUUCUUCAUGUGUUAAAUGUAAGAGUAAACCCUGCCCUCCCUAACUCUUAGGGGCGUUAGUGAGGCUCUCAUGAGACAAUAGGAGCCCUGGUGGCAUAGUGGUUAAGUGCUCAGCUGCUAACUGAGAGAUUGGUGGUUUGAACCCAUCAGCCUGCUCUGCGGGAGAAAGACGUGGCAGUCUGCUUCCGUAAAGAUCACAGCCUUGGAAACCCUGUGGGGCAACUCUGCUCUGUCCUACAGGGUUGCUAUGCGUUGAUUCUAUGGCAGCAGGUUAAUGAGACAAUGGAAGUGAAACCACUUGGGAAUGGGCUGCCUGUGGCCAAAAGCUAUCAGGCCAUCAUGGAAUGGGAAUUGGAGCCUCUCAAGGACAGGGGAAGGCCCCACCCAGAGCAGAAAGCUGAGAAAUUGAGAGCCCCCUUCAGGGUUGACCCUUCUCUCAGUGCCAUCACUUGCCCUCCUUUUAAGGUCUCUUUUAUGCAUUGUAGCACAGGUCAGAGGUAGGUAUGUGUCUUAUCUAACCCCAGCCUAUGUCCUGGGAGUCUGCUCCAUCUCUUCAAAGCUUCCCCAGGGGCCAAGGUUGAAAUGCUUGGGACAAGUUCUGAGGCUUUGGACCUGGGUUUAAAUCCCAGCUCUGUCACUCACUAGCUAUGUGACCUUGGACAAGUCAUUUCACUUUUCUGAGCCUUGAUUUCCUUAUCUGUAACGGGGGGGAUUGUAACUUUUUAUUACUUAGGAUCCUAACUUUUUAUUACUUAGGAUCCUUUUGGUGGUAAGUGGAGCAAAGGAAUCCUGGCCAGACCACCAGUAUAGUAGUUAUCUAUUGCUGUAUAUCAAUUUAACCCUAAAAUUUAGUAGCUUAAAACAACAAAGAUUUUUUAUUCCCAUUUCUGUGGUCCAAGAAUUUGAGAGCAGCUUAGCUGGUUGACUCUGACGGAAUAGUCUUUCAUGAGGUUGCUGUCAAGAUUUCUGUCAGGCUGCAGUCAUCUGAAGGCCUGACUAGAGCUGGAGGAUCCACAACGCAUCGCUGCUGCUGGAUGAGGCGGUGGCUGAAGCCCACCUGGGCAAGCUGAACGUGAAGCUGACCAAGCUGACUGAGAAGCAAGCCCAGUACCUGGGCUUGCCCUCCGAUGGCCCCUUCAAGGCUGAU